AUACCAAAGUAACCCCCGUUUGUCCCCAGCAGCCUGCUAUUCAGAGUGUAUCUCUGGUGAGAGACAGGUGUGAUUGAAUCUCUUCCAAGACAGAAAAGCAGCAGAAUCAAAGGUGGCUGCCUGUUGCAUUGACACACACAGAGAACCGUGACUGACGAAAAGCAAAGAGAUAGAUGAGCAGCAGAGAUGGGGGGGGGCACUCCGCCAACAUCCCCCCCCACACACACACACUAAAACACGAACACAUC